CACACCACACAGGAGCUGUUUUGUGAAGAAUGCCCACAUCAUGCUUGCAAAAUUCAAGUAAUACAAAGAGAGUUUAUGCACCGGAGACAAAUUCCUUGUGUUUUCAAUCACGCUGGUCAGUAAAGAAUUGUAUUCUGUUCUGUUCCAUU